rnacentral:rRNA from 1 species
AGUGAACGCUGGCGGUAGGCCUAACACAUGCAAGUCGAACGGCAGCACAGUAAGAGCUUGCUCUUACGGGCGUCGAGUGUCGGACGGUGGAGUAAUACAUCGGAAUAUACUUUUUCGUGGGGGCUAACGUAGGGAAACUUACGCUAAUACCGCAUACGACCUACUGGUGAAAGCAGGGGAUCUUCGGACCUUGCGCUAUGGAAUGAGCCUAUGUCGGAUUAGCUAGUUGGCGGGGUAAAGGCCCAACAAGGCGACGAUCCGUAUCUGGUCUGAGAGGAAGAUCAGACAGACUGUAUGUGAGGCACGUCCCAGACUCCUACGGGAGGCAGCAGUGGGGACUAUUGGACGAUGGAGGCAAGCCUGAUCCAGCCCUACCGCGUGAAUGAAGAACCAGUUAGGGUUGUAGAGCCCUUUUGUUGGGAAAGUAAAGCAGCUGGUUAAUCCCCCGCUGUUCUGACGGUACCCAAAGAAUAAGCACCGGCUAACUUCGUG